rnacentral:rRNA from 1 species
UACGAAGGGGACUAGCGUUGUUCGGAAUCACUGGGCGUAAAGCGCACGUAGGCGGAUGUGUCAGUCAGGGGUGAAAUCCCGGGGCUCAACCUCGGAACUGCCUUUGAUACAGCACGUCUCGAGUCCGGAAGAGGUGGGUGGAAUUCCUAGUGUAGAGGUGAAAUUCGUAGAUAUUAGGAAGAACACCGGUGGCGAAGGCGGCCCACUGGUCCGGUACUGACGCUGAGGCGCGAAAGCGUGGGGAGCAA